AACGCUGGCGGCGUGUCUUAAGCAUGCAAGUCGAGCGGCAAGGGCAGCAAUGCCCCUAGAGCGGCGGACUGGUGAGUAACACGUGGGUGAUCUGCCUUUGGCAUGGGGAUAGCCAUUAGAAAUAGCGGGUAAUACCGAAUACGUUCGGCACCGUGAGGGUGUCGAGGAAAGGUGCUACGGCACCGGCCGGAGAUGAGCCUGCGUCCGAUUAGCUAGUUGGUGAGGUAAAGGCCCACCAAGGCUAUGAUCGGUAGGCGGCCUGAGAGGGUGUACGCCCACAUUGGGACUGAGAUACGGCCCAAACUCCUACGGGAGGCAGCAGCUAAGAAUAUUCCGCAAUGGACGAAAGUCUGACGGAGCGACGCCGCGUGGAUGAUGAAGGCCGAAAGGUUGUAAAGUCCUUUUGCUGGGGAAGAAUAAGUCUGGGAGGGAAUGCCCGGAUGAUGACAUGAACCGGCGAAUAAGCCCCGGCUAACUACGUGCCAGCAGCCGCGGUAACACGUAGGGGGCAAGCGUUGUUCGGAAUUACUGGGCGUAAAGGGCAUGUAGGCGGCUUUGUAAGCUUGGCGUGAAAUUCCACGGCUUAACCGUGGGAAAUGCGUUGAGAACUGCGAGGCUUGAGUUAUGGAGAGGGAGCUAGAAUUCCUGGUGUAGGGGUGGAAUCUGUAGAGAUCAGGAAGAAUACCAAUGGCGAAGGCAAGCUCCUGGCCAAUGACUGACGCUGAGGUGCGAAAGCGUGGGGAUCAAACUGGAUUAGAUACCCUGGUAGUCCACACUGUAAACGAUGUACACUAGGUGCUGGGGCGGAUGCUUCAGUGCC
rnacentral:rRNA from 1 species